AUUGAACGCUAGCGGGAUGCUUUACACAUGCAAGUCGAACGGCGGCGCGGACUUCGGUCUGCCGGCGAGUGGCCAACGGGUGAGUAAUGUAUCGGAACGUGCCCAGUCGCGGGGGAUAUCUCCCCGGAAGCGUAGCUAAUACCGCAUACGCUCUACCGGGGCAACCACGGGAUCGUAAGUCCUUGCACUAUUGGAGCGGCCGAUCUCGGAUUGGCUGGUUGGUGAGGUAACGGCUCACCACGGCGACGAUCCGUAGCUGGUUUGAGAGGACGACCAGCCACACUGGGACUGAGACACGGCCAAGACUCCUACAGGAGGCAGCGGUGGGGAAUUUUGGACAAUGGGGGCAACCCUGAUCCAGCCAUCCCGCGUGGGCGAUGAAGGCCUUCGGGUUGUAAAGCACUAUUGGCAGGAAAGAAACGUCGCGGGCUAAUACCCCGUGGAAAUGACGGUACCUGCAGAAUAAGCACCGGCUAACUACGUG
rnacentral:rRNA from 1 species